UUCCCUGCAGGACUGGUCUUGCAUUCUUGGGCCGGCUCAGCUGACAUGGUCAAGCAGCUUGCGGGAAUAGAGGGAGUCCAUUUCUCUAUAUCAGGCCACACAAUGCGCCUGUCAGACAAGAAACUUGUACCCAUGCUGAGAGAGGCAAGCAACCGCCAUCUCGAUGUUCAGUCUGUCCUCUUCGUGAGGAUUCACAGGAGAUUGAUGUCGACAGACAUCAUGCAAGUGGCUUCUAGCUGAGCAGCCAGUGUGUCCCAGAUUCCAUUGGAUCAACUGCUCUUCGAGACCGACAGCCCAGAUGGCCUUGAGCCACUGCUGAGACGCAGCCAUGCCCCUCUCUAUCCAGUGAACCCAUCCUUGGCGUCUUGUCCUGAGACACACGGAAAGGAUCCUGGGUUGAACCAUCCUGGCAACAUCAGGUGCAGUCCACAGACCAACUUGCGAGUAGAGAGAUUGACCAAUGAUCACUCAGUAAUUCUUCUGCCGAGCUUCAGUAUACAGUGGCUGAUGUGUUGCUGUUCUGUGCAGGGCUGUGCUCGAGUGUAUUUCUCAGCAUUUAGAUUGUCCAGAAUCAGACGUUGCCAAAGCAGCCUUUGACAAUGCUACACGCCUGU
rnacentral:lncRNA from 1 species